UAAAGAAUGGAUAGAACGUGUGGCUGGGGAUGAUACCAAAGCUUUUUGUCGGUACUGCAAAACCGAGAUUCGUGCGCACCACAGUGAUCUCCAAAACCACAGCAAAACGGGGAAACACAUUCGAAAUGCUGCUCCGUUCUCCAGUUGUCGAGCAGGGAGGAAGAGAGAAAAGGGAAGAGAAAGCCUCAAGACAAAGCAACAGACCUGGCAACCCUGG